rnacentral:rRNA from 1 species
GACGAACGCUGGCGGCAUGCCUAAUACAUGCAAGUCGAGCGAACAGAUGAAGUGCUUGCUCUUCUGACGUUAGCGGCGAACGGGUGAGUAACACGUAAGGAAUCUACCUAUAAGCGGGGGAUAACAUCCGGAAACGGGUGCUAAUACCGCAUAAUAUCUUCUUCCGCAUGGAAGAAGAUUGAAAGACGGCUCUGCUGUCACUUAUAGAUGACCUUGCGGUGCAUUAGUUAGUUGGUGGGGUAACGGCCUACCAAGACGAUGAUGCAUAGCCGACCUGAGAGGGUGAUCGGCCACAUUGGGACUGAGACACAGCCCAAACUCCUACGGGAGGCAGCAGUAGGGAAUCUUCCGCAAUGGGCGAAAGCCUGACGGAGCAAUGCCGCGUGAGUGAAGAAGGCCUUCGGGUCGUAAAACUCUGUUAUAAGAGAAGAACAAAUUGUAGAGUAACUGCUACAGUCUUGACGGUAUCUUAUCAGAAAGCCACGGCUAACUACGUGCCAGCCGCCGCGGUAA